rnacentral:rRNA from 1 species
AGGCUCUCCCAUCGAUGAGGAUCGCAGUGUAAUGCGAUAAGUAAUGUGAAUUGCAGAAAUUCGUGAACCAUUGAAUCUCUGAACGCACGUUGCGCCCUAUUGUAUUCCGUAGGGCAUGCCCGUCUGAGCAUCAGCUGGUCUUCUCAAGCCCUUUUGCUUGGGUAACAUUGGUGAAGCAAUACACGGUCCAUUUGGACUCUAUGUGCUCUCCAGAAAUUCACAGGCGGUACGGGUCUAGCAAAUCAGACGUAAUAAUUCUUUAUCUCGUCCUAUGUUUUGGAGCUGGGCUUCCCUCUUAAUCCCGCAUCUUUCAUGAGACCUCAGAUCAGGUAGG